GCGUUCAUACCCAAGUGGUUAAGGGGCCUGACUAGAAAUCAGGUGUCGUCAGACGCGCAGGUUCAAAUCCUGCUGGACGCG
rnacentral:tRNA from 1 species